rnacentral:rRNA from 1 species
UACGUAGGGCGCAAGCGUUGUCCGGAAUUAUUGGGCGUAAAGAGCUCGUAGGCGGCCUGUUACGUCUGCUGUGAAAUCCCGGGGCUUAACCCCGAGCCUGCAGUGGAUACGGGCAGACUAGAGGUAGGUAGGGGAGAAUGGAAUUCCCGGUGUAGCGGUGAAAUGCGCAGAUAUCGGGAGGAACACCGGUGGCGAAGGCGGUUCUCUGGGCCUUACCUGACGCUGAGGAGCGAAAGCGUGGGGAGCGAACAGG